rnacentral:rRNA from 1 species
GACCGUACCGCAAACCGACACUGGUGGGCGAGCUGAAUAUGCUCAGGCGCUUGAGAGAACUCAGGAGAAGGAACUCGGCAAAUUGACACCGUAACUUCGGGAUAAGGUGUGCCUUUGUAGCGUGGAGGGAGAAACACCCCGAGCGCGAAGAGGUCUCAGAUAAUCGGUGGCUGCGACUGUUUAUUAAAAACACAGCACUCUGCAAAGACGAAAGUCGACGUAUAGGGUGUGAUGCCUGCCCGGUGCUGGAAGAUUAAUUGAUGGGGUGCAAGCUCCUGAUCGAAGUCCCAGUAAACGGCGGCCGUAACUAUAACGGUCCUAAGGUAGCGAAAUUCCUUGUCGGGCAAGUUCCGACCUGCACGAAUGGCAUAACGAUGGCCACACUGUCUCCUCCUGAGACUCAGUGAAGUUGAAGUGUUUGUGAUGAUGCAAUCUCCCCGCGGCUAGACGGAAAGACCCCAUGAACCUUUACUGUAGCUUUGCAUUGGACUUUGAACCGAUCUGUGUAGGAUAGGCGGGAGCCUGUGAAACCACAACGCCAGUUGUGGCGGAGGCGUCCUUGAAAUACCGCCCUGAUUUGUUUGAGGUUCUAACCUGGGACAGUUAUCCUGUCCGGGGACCGUGCAUGGUAGGCAGUUUGACUGGGGCGGUCUCCUCCUAAAGGGUAACGGAGGAGUGCGAAGGUACGCUAGGUACGGUCGGAAAUCGUGCUGAUAGUGCAAUGGCAAAAGCGUGCUUGACUGCGAGACCCACAAGUCGAGCAGAUACGAAAGUAGGUCAUAGUGAUCCGGUGGCUCUGUAUGGAAGGGCCAUCGCUCAACGGAUAAAAGGUACUCUGGGGAUAACAGGCUGAUACCGCCCAAGAGUUCAUAUCGACGGCGGUGUUUGGCACCUCGAUGUCGGCUCAUCUCAUCCUGGGGCUGUAGCCGGUCCCAAGGGUAUGGCUGUUCGCCAUUUAAAGAGGUACGUGAGCUGGGUUUAAAACGUCGUGAGACAGUUUUGUCCCUAUCUGCCGUGGGCGCUGGAAGAUUGACGGGGGCUGCUCCUAGUACGAGAGGACCGGAGUGGACUCACCUCUGGUGUACCGGUUGUCACGCCAGUGGCAUCGCCGGGUAGCUAUGUGGGGAA